CUUAAAAAUGGUCACAAAGAAAGGCGCGUACUGCUGUUCUUCCUUGAAUACAUUAGCACAUUAAUACAUGAGUACUGGCGUAAAAUUUUCAACAUCGCACUGUUUUGGAAUAAAUUACAUCCUAGUUCCUAUGCAUACUUGUAGUUUGUGCUGGUCAUCAUUAUCAUGCCAUGCAAUCAAUAAUUUAUUAAGACAUCUGUACAAUCCCAAUAAAAAUCCUAAUUUUAAAUAAAUAGUAUAAAAUAUAAAUUAUAACUUAUAAGACCAUAUUCUAAAAUAUAUAAAAUUAUCUAUAUGCCUGGCUAAGCUGUAUGUUCCGGAUAUAUUUUCUUUUUCAGUUUUCUGCUUAAGAUCCUCGCAACAAGGUCUAUGAAUUCCAAGAGUGUCAGUAUACUUGCACCAAGGAACAACCCAACUUGGCCUCCAAUAUCACC
rnacentral:lncRNA from 1 species